rnacentral:rRNA from 1 species
AUUGAACGCUGGCGGCAUGCUUUACACAUGCAAGUCGAACGGUAACAGCACUUCGGUGGCUGACGAGUGGCGCACGGGUGAGUAAUACAUCGGAACGUGCCUAGUAGUGGGGGAUAACUACUCGAAAGAGUAGCUAAUACCGCAUGAGAUCUAAGGAUGAAAGCAGGGGACCUUCGGGCCUUGCGCUACUAGAGCGGCUGAUGGCAGAUUAGGUAGUUGGUGGGAUAAAAGCUUACCAAGCCGACGAUCUUUAGCUGGUCUGAGAGGACGACCAGCCACACUGGGACGGAGACACGGCCCAGACUCCUACGGGAGGCAGCAGUGGGGAAUUUUGGACAAUGGGCGCAAGCCUGAUCCAGCAAUGCCGCGUGCAGGAUGAAGGCCUUCGGGUUGUAAACUGCUUUUGUACGGAACGAAAAGCCCUCUUCUAAUACAGGAGGGUCAUGACGGUACCGUAAGAAUAAGCACCGGCUAACUACGUG